GGCAGGUUUAAUUAGCUCAGAGCUUGGCAUAUAAUAGGCACAAAUAAAGUGGUAAUUAAUUAUUACUCUCUUUUUUCAAGUGAGGUGACUGGCUACUUUGACCAAACUCCUUUCUUCUCUCUCCCAUGCUGUGCCCUGGCCUUUCUCUUGCAUCCAGCAAGGUUCAAAAUGCUGCCUUGUGGAUAUAAGCUCACUAGCCCUGAGCCUUCACAUAAGAGGCCAGGAGUCCCAGAGUGCUGGAGAGAAUUACAAAAGCAAGGAAGCCGCAGCCACUGCCCUUCAGCUUAAAAUACAGGCACAUUAAAGAGACACCACGUGCAAAUCACAAAGAACCUGGCCACUGUCCUCACUGUUUCAAUUCUCCGGCAGACCUGGGGCCCUGAGAUGCCGAUUGCUGAAUCUCACAUUCCUGGAGGAUCUUUGAGUGUCUGCCCUUUGAUGUUUGACAAUAAGAACAGAGUUAUGAAGAUAGAUUACAUAUAUAUGUGAUUGCCAGUACAGGGUCCAGAAGUCAUUUAAUAUUGUCAUUAUCCCUGUCACUGUU
rnacentral:lncRNA from 12 species